UCCGCCUUGCCGCACCGGCACACUGGGUUCUAGUCCCGGUCGGGGCGCCAGAUUCUGUCCCAGUUGCCCCUCUUCCAGGCCAGCUCUCUGCUGUGGCCAGGGAGUGCGGUGGAGGAUGGCCCAAGUGCUUGGGCCCUGCACCCCAUGGGAGACCAGGAGAAGCACCUGGCUCCUGGCUUUGGAUCAGCGUGAUGUGCUGGCCACAGCGCACCGGCCGCGGCGGCCAUUGGAGGGUGAACCAAUGGCAAAGGAAGACCUUUCUCUCUGUCUCUCUCUCUCAGGGUCCACUCUGCCUGUCAAAAACAAACAAACAAACAAACAAAAACAAAGGGGGGGUAUUUCAGCACAGUAUCUGCUACACUUAGGACACAUUAAUAGGUGUUAGAGAUUAUUUUUAUUAUGAUGAUGACUCGAGCUAGGAUCUCAGCUUCACCACAUGUUCACCCUGGGAUCUUUCUUGGUCUUCUCAUCUGCAAACUGGGGGCAGUGGGGUGAUAAUGCCUCUUCAUAAGCUUAUUGUAAAGAUUUAAAUGAGGCAAUGUGUGUAAGGUUGCAUCCCUUUAGUUUCAUCCAGUAAAUGUUCUCUUAUUUUUAUCCUCAUCUCUCCUUAUACUUUUAAAAGUUAUUGAUUGAUUGAUUGAUUUGAAAGGCAGAACAACAGAGGGGGAGAGAGAUUGAUAGGAAGAAAGAUGUUCCUCCCACAGUUCAUUCCCCUGUGUGAAAAUUGAGGCCAGGCCAGGCUGAAGUCAGGAGCCAGGAAUUCCAUCCGAGUCUCCCACAUGGGUGCCAGGGACCCGACUGCCUCAUCCGUGGUCUGUUGUCUCCCAGGGUGCACACCCACAGGAAGCUGGAUCAGAAGCGGAAGGGCGAGACUCCAGCCCAGACAACUCUGAUAUGGGAUGUGGGUGUCCCAAACAGCAGCUUGCCCCACUACACCACAACACUUGCUCCCAUCACUUCUCCUUCUUCUUUUGUUUAUUCCCUGCGGAUCAUCUUGUGCUGUGUCUCAGUUCGUUGGCUGAUCUAGAUGAGUGGAUGAGUUCCAGCAGAAAGACAGAACAGAAAACAGAGGAGCUUUUCUCUUCCCCCUACUCCUCCCUGAGAGCUGUGGGUAGAGUACUGCCUGCAGUGUCAGCAUCCCAUAUGGGCACUGGUUCGAGACCCGGCUACUCCACUUCUGAUCCAGCUCUCUGCUGUGGCCUGGGAAAGCAGUAGAAGAUGGCCCAAGUCCUUGGGCCCCUACACCUAUGUGGGAGACCUGGAAGAAGCUCUUGGCUCCUGGCUUCGGAUCAACCCAGCUCCAGCCAUUGCGGCCAUCUGGGGAGUGAACCAACAGAUGGAAGACCUCUCUCUCUCUUUCUCUCUGCCUCUGCCUCUCUGUAAUUCUGCCUUUCAAAUAAAUAAAUAAAUCUUAAAAAAAAAAAAGAUAACCAAAGUCAAGAAAGUGCUAGAACUUCAGCUACCCUCUCAAAUGCCCCUGACCACGUACUGUAAGAAUGAUGAUAGAAAAGUGGUCUCUAGAAGGACUUCUUGGGGAUGGCACCUGUGUUCAUUCAGUUGCUCAAGUCAGAAAUCUGAGAACCAUUGCUGAUCCCUAAUCCCUCACUAGGCUUUGUAGCUACUAUUUAGUGAACAGGUCUCAGUUCCACUCGAUUCUGCUGAAUCCCCUUGCUACCAUACGAGUUUAAUGGGCAAUCAUUUCUCCAUAGAUCUCUGGAACACACUCCAGCCACUCUUCCUCUGUCCUACAGUGCUCCUCCUCUUAAAGCCCCCAGGUGACUUCUCUCUGACCAGGAUCACUUAAUGGGACUGGCAAGGCCCUUUGUGAUGGACUUCCCCAAACUCCUCCCUCACCACUCUUCAAUCCAGUUUCCAGAUGAGUGGCGUUGUUUUCAGUUCCUCAGCUGCUUGGUGACUAUCGUGUGCUCAGGAUCGUUGAACACAGCAUCUCCUGUUUCCUUGUGUCUUUGCCAAGGCACCAUCUCCUCUGGGAAGAGUUCUCUGAUACCCUCUGUGAAGAAUAUUGAGAUGGUUGCCUACUCAGCAUCCAUUUCCCAUUCACCCAAGCUCUGUGCAAGGCAGUAAUGUGCCCAGCUGGAAGACUACAUUUCUAGUCUGUUCUGAAGCUAGGAGUGGUCAUGUGACAGCAACCUGGCCAGUGAAAUAAUUGUAGAAGUUGAAGGGUGAGAUUUCCAGGGAAGCUCUUCAAAGGAGUAAUUCCUCUUUUCUCAUUUUACUCUUUCUUCCCUUCUUCCUAAAAUGCAAAACAAAUGUCAGAGGCUCCAGAAGCCAUCUUAGACAAUAAGGUGAUGUUAAAGUGGAAAUAGCACCUUAUGAUGGUGAAAUAGAAAAGACAUCUGGCUCCUGCAUGGCCUUGGAGUUGCCACACCUGCCCUGGUUUACCUAUCAAUGGAAUUAAUUUGCAUGAGAGAAAACAAACUUUAUGAGUUUAAAUCCUUGCUAAUUUUUUUUGUUUGUUUAUAGCUAAAUGAAUUUAAUCCUAACAUUUUAAUACUAACUGGAUCUAUUGCUUAGAGCCAAGCCAAUAAGUCUUGAAGUUGGGUAGCGUCAUUUCUCUUUGUUCUUCCUCAGUUUUCUCUUGGCUAUUUUGGGUCUUGUGCCUCUUUAUAUAAACUUUAGUGUGAAAUGUGCAAAGAUAAUUUCUUGGGAUUUUAUUGAAUUGUAUUGAAUCUGUAGAUUGAGUUGUGAAGAAAUGACAUCCUGAUAAUAUUGAGUGUUCCUAUCCGUGAACAUGUAUUAUGUAUCCAUUUAUUUGGUUCUUUCUUGGUUUCUUUUAUUAGAGUUUUUAAUUUUCCUCAUUUAUAGUUUGCAUACAUUUUGUUAGGAUUAUAUCCAAAUAGAUUAUUUUAGGGGGUUCUAAUAUAAAUGGCAUUGUGCUUUUAAUUUCAAAAUACCAGUUGCUUAUUGCCGGUAUAAAGGAAAGUGAUUGACUGUUGUGUCUUAACCUUGUAUCCUGCAACCUUGCUUUAAUUGAUUAUUAGUUUAAGGAGUUUUCAAUUGAUUCUUUCAGAAUUCCUUCACAGACAAUAAUGUCUUUUAUUUCUUUCUUCCCAAUAUGUAUAUUUAAACUUAUUUUUCCUGUCUUAUUUCACUAGCUAGGAUUUCCAGUACAAUGUUGAAGUACAAAAAGAAAUUAUGCCUUGUUCCUUAAUUUAGUAGAAAAGCUCUGGUUUCUCUUCCGUAAGUCUGAAGUUCACUGUAAGGUUGUGUGUGUGUGUGUGUGUGUGUGUGUGUGAAUGUUCUUUAUUAUGCUAGAAAAGUUCCCUGUAUCCCUAGUUGUCUGAGGAUGUGCUGGCCAUUGAGGGUGCUCACAUUUCUAUUAGCCAGUUGGUAAUUUAUGAGAGGAGCAGGGGCUGGGGCAGAGCCCGUGGCAGGUGAGAUCCAGACCAGCAGAAGGCCACAGCUCCUCCCUGCAGUUCUGCCAUCUCCCAGCUGAUCAUCCUGGCCAAGUCGUGUGAGCCUCCGGUUCCGUCUUGUAAAAUGCGCUAAAUAAGGGAAGGCAUGCAGAGGGCUUAGAUUCUGGGGACAUGACGAGUCCUCAGUGGAUUUUGCUGUUACUGUUUAUUCUUGGGUGGGGUUCCUGUCCCAGGAUGUCCUGCCCUGUGCCCUAGGACCAGACUCCAAAGGCCAUUCCAUUCUCUCUUGAUUUGAAAUACUUAGUCCCUAAGACUUUUUCUGGGUAGUAGGUAUAUAAUUUCCUGAGGACUUUUCUCUGAAUUCCCAACAGAAUCAGGAAAACUCCUAUCUUUUAAGUGAUUGGUUGCUUUUUAAAGAUGGUUUAUAUUUAAUGCCUUCCCUUAGAUGUCAUUUUUCUUGUUCACCUUACUUCUUUUGGAAUGGAGCAGGUAGUCCAACCUCCUGGCUGAGUGGCUUCUGGUGAAGAUGGUGGAGGACCUGAGACCAGGAGCAACUUCCAGCAAUUUCUUUGGUUGUUUUCCAUAGAUGCAGAAUAUAUUUAUUGUUUGGGCCAGUCCAGGACAUAGGUCACCUGACCUUAGAAUCACAAAUGGAUGAUUGUACCACCCUACCUAAAACAGAGGAACAGUGGUUAUACAAUGAGAUAUUAACUAACGUACCUGGUGUGGUCCCAGUGGCAGCAUUGUUGGUCCGUGUAGAAAGGCGAGGUGACGAGCUUCCCAGCACCUGCUACUUCUAACCUAUCUGAAAUGCAAAGCCAGGAGCCUCUACAAUCCGCACAUUCUAUAUGUUAGCUCCUAUGAAUUUCUUUGUUGAACCUUUACUAAAUUAUUUCCAUGCAAUACACUCUUACCCCUAAAUCAAAAAUGACUAAGCUGACUAAACAUCCAUGGGUUUUUGAAAUGCUCACUUAAAUUCAGUGAUAUUGAGGUGUAAUUUUUUAAAAUAUGUAUGAUUAUUUGAGAGGUAGAGUUACAGACAGAGGGAGAGACAGAGAGAAAGAUCUUUCAUCCAUCCCAAAUGGCUGCAAAAGCCAGAGCUGGACUAAUUCGAAGCCAGGAGCCAGGAGCCUCCUCCAGGUCUCCCAUGUGGGUGCAGGAGCCCAGGCACUUGGGCCAUCUUCCACUGCUUUCCCAGGCCAUAGCAGAGGGCUGGAUUGGAAGAGGAGCCACCAGGACAUGAACUGGUGCCCAUAUGGGAUGCUGGGGCUGCGGAUGGAGUCUUAGCCUACUAAGCCACAGCGCUGACCCCUUGAGGUCUAAUCUCCAUACAAUAAAUGAAUCCAUUUUGACAAAUAUGUGCUACCAUGUAACAACCCCAAAAUAAAGAUAUAGAACAUAUUCAUCACCCCCAGAAGAUUCCUUAUGAGCUUUCCCAGUCCCUACUGUUUUGCUUUCUCUCUAUGUAGAUUAUACUGGCCUUUCUGGAGUCCCAUGAAAAUGGAAUCACACAGCACCCACUCCUGGUCUCUCUUCCUUCAUUCAGCAUAAUGCUUUUGAUUCAUCCAGGUUGUGCACACC